rnacentral:rRNA from 1 species
AGAGCUUGAUCCUGACGUAGAACGAACGCUGGCGGCAUGCCUAAUACAUGCAAGUCGAACGAGCCCUUCGGGGUUAGUGGCGCACGGGUGCGUAACGCGUGGGAAUCUGCCCUUGGGUUCGGAAUAACGUCUGGAAACGGACGCUAAUACCGGAUGAUGACGAAAGUCCAAAGAUUUAUCGCCCAGGGAUGAGCCCGCGUAGGAUUAGCUAGUUGGUGAGGUAAAGGCUCACCAAGGCGACGAUCCUUAGCUGGUCUGAGAGGAUGAUCAGCCACACUGGGACUGAGACACGGUCCAGACUCCUACGGGAGGCAGCAGUGGGGAAUAUUGGACAAUGGGCGAAAGCCUGAUCCAGCCAUGCCGCGUGUGUGAAGAAGGUCUUCGGAUUGUAAAGCACUUUAAGUUGGGAGGAAGGGCAGUAAGUUAAUACCUUGCUGUNUUGACGUUACCAACAGAAUAAGCACCGGCUAACUUCGUGCCAGCAGCCGCGGUAAUACGAAGGGUGNCAGCGUUAAUCGGAAUUACUGGGCGUUAAGCGCGCGUAGGUGGUUUGGUAAGAUGGAUGUGAAACCCCGGGGCUCAACCUGGGAACUGCAUCCAUUACCUGCUGAC